rnacentral:rRNA from 1 species
UACGUAGGGGGCAAGCGUUGUCCGGAUUUAUUGGGCGUAAAGAGCGUGUAGGCGGUUCGGUAGGUCCGUUGUGAAAACUCGAGGCUCAACCUCGAGACGCCGAUGGAAACCAUCGAACUAGAGUCCGGAAGAGGAGAGUGGAAUUCCUGGUGUAGCGGUGAAAUGCGCAGAUAUCAGGAAGAACACCUAUGGCGAAGGCAGCUCUCUGGGACGGUACUGACGCUGAGACGCGAAAGCGUGGGGAGCGAACAGG